GGCUGGGGGGCAGCAGGCACCGGCUGCUCUUGCCGAAGGGGCUGCUCUGGUGCAUCCUCGUGCUCGCUGGUCCAGGACACACAGCUAAAGAGGUGCUAACGCCUGGGAACAUUUCUGCAACCAGAGGCAGCAAUGUCACCUUGCACUGCUGCAUGGUACUAUCUGCUGCUAUCGUCUCCUUGGUGAGCUGGAACCAAUGCAACGGCAUUGACCUGGUGGUCUGCCUGAACGAAGACACAGCCAACAUCUGCCCAGCAUUCAGGGAAAAGAUCUCUCUGGCAGCAGAGUAUGGGAUUACACUCCACUUACUGGGACUCAAUAACACUGGGGAUUACUGCUGUAAAUUCCACAUCUUCCCUUUUGGAGUAUUAUGAAGGCAGGAUGUUCCUGGAAGUGACAGCUCUGUUUGGGGUCUUGCAAACAUUGAGUGAAAGCCCUUAUUGAAGAAGCCCAGCUGGACUAACAGCGAGCAGCCUUGGGAGGGUGCUCCUCGAUGCCGGGAGGGCGACAAGACGAGGGACCGUUACGAACGGCAAGGAGGAACGAGGCCUCCCAGCUAGGAG